AUAGUACUCCCUCCGUCCCAAAAUUCUUGACUUAGAUUUAUCUAAAUACGGAUGUAUCAAGUCAUGUUUUAGUAUUAGAUACAUCCGUAUCUAGACGAAUCUAAGACAAGAAUUUUGGGACGGAGGGAGUAGUAA
rnacentral:pre_miRNA from 1 species